AGACAAGAAUUCUCACUCUGUAGCUAUUGAAGUGGGAAAAUCUGAGAACUCAGCAUUUGGUCAGAAAGAUGGUAGAAACUACAUUGCUGAGGUGGGACAAUUUAGACUUAGGAUUGGAGAUGCAGAUGUACUUUGUAAUUACUUUGUUCGAAUGCAAAGAAGGAACUCAAAUUUCUUUUAUGUGAUUGGCAUGGAUGAGGAAGGACAGUUGCAGAAUGUAUUUUGGGCUAAUGCAAGGUCUAGAGCAGCUUAUGAGUCAUUUGGAGAUGUGUUAUUCUUUGAUAUCUUACUGAUGAGUAUGAUUUGCCACUUACUCCUUUUGUUGGAGUUAACCACCAUGGGCAGUCUAUUCUAUUCGGAUGUGGUUUGCUAUCAAGAGAGGAUGUAGGCGCAUAUGUUUGGCUAUUUAGAUCGUGGCUGGAAUGCAUGCAUGGGGCGUCCUCCAAUUGCUAUAAUCACUGACCAAUGUAAAAUGAUCCAAGGUGCAGUCGUGGAAGGGUUUCCAAGUUCUCAUCAUCUGCUUUGCCUUUGGCACAUAAUGAAGAAGCUUCCUGAAAAAUUUGGAGGUCUAGUUCAAUACAAGGCAAUAUAAAAAAUUCUAAAAGGUACUGUUUAAGAAUCUUUGAAUCCUCAAGAAUUUGAAGAAAGUUGGUUCAAAAUGAUUGAAGAAUUUAAUUUUGAAAAGAAUGAAUGGUUGAGUUCCUUAUUUGCUGAUCAUCACCGUUGGGUUUGUAUUUUUGUCAAAAAGGUAUUUUGGGCAGGGUUGUCUACAAUGCAAAGAAAUGAAAGUGUGGAUGCAGUUUUUUGAUGAUUAUGUAACGUCAAAAACUUCAUUGAAGCAAUUUGUUGAGCAAUAUGAUAAUGCCUUGAAAAGCAAAGUUGAGAAGGAGAAUAAGUCAAAAACAGUGAUGCCCUAACAACUGGCAAAUGACUAACUCCCUUGCGAGGUCAAAGCAAAGGUUGCCCCCCAUCCAAAAAGAAUUUAAGAUAGAUAAACGCUUUGCAGGGAAAUUUCAGAAAAAAGAGUGAGCAAAUUGACUUAGCCAUGCAAAAUAAGAGGCAGACAGAGAUCAACCAUGUGAAACCUAGUGCUGCAGAAGCAUAUAAACCCAGCUCUUCCGUUCAUUCACCGAUCAGCUGUUUUAUGUUUCAAGAUGGCGAAGGGGCAAGGGCAACCGCAAGAAAUGGCAUUAUUGCUGGAGGAAUGAGUUCAGAGGAGAAAUUGAGUAAAUGAGCCAUCAGAUUGAACCAUACAGUCCUAGAUUCCCUGAGAGAGCAGUAGAUCGUGCUCAUUCAUGUUUAUGCAGAACAUCUUGAUAGCCAAUGUAUGGUAGUAGAUGAAUGCGAUGUUUACUUUGGAGAGUCGCUACUGUUCUCUCCUCAAAAAAUUGAAUUCUUUUUCUUUUGUCCUAUGUUCUUCAACAUCUCGUUUAUGUAACAGCAAUUCUUGACAACUGCAUGGAUCAAGACAAUUGUUGUGGUACUAUAAUCACGGGAUUAUCAAUCAAAUAUUGGUUAAUUGUACA